UACGUAGGGGGCAAGCGUUGUCCGGAAUUAUUGGGCGUAAAGCGCGCGCAGGCGGUUUCUUAAGUCUGAUGUGAAAUCUUGCGGCUUAACCGCAAGCGGUCAUUGGAAACUGGGGAACUUGAGUACAGAAGAGGAGAGCGGAAUUCCACGUGUAGCGGUGAAAUGCGUAGAUAUGUGGAGGAACACCAGUGGCGAAGGCGGCUCUCUGGUCUGUAACUGACGCUGAGGCGCGAAAGCGUGGGGAGCGAACAGG
rnacentral:rRNA from 1 species